GACGAACGCUGGCGGCGUGCUUAACACAUGCAAGUCGAACGGAAAGGCCCUGCUUUUGUGGGGUGCUCGAGUGGCGAACGGGUGAGUAACACGUGAGUAACCUGUCCCUGACUUUGGGAUAACUACUGGAAAAUGGGGCUAAUACCCGAUAGGAGCUCCUGCUGCGUGGUGGGGGUUGGUGAGUUUCGGCGGUUGGGGAUGGAAUCGCGGCUUAUCAGCUUGUUGGUGGGGUAGGGGCAUACCAAGGCUUCGACGGGUAGCCUGCCUGGGAGGGGGACCGGCCACAUUACGCCUGAGAUACGGCCCAGACUCGUACGUGACGCAGCGGUGGAGAGUAUUGCACAGUGGGCGGGAGCCUGAUGUAACAGCGCCGCGUGCGGGAUGACAUGCUUCGGGUUGUGAACCAAUGUCGCCUUUGCCGAGGCGUUAGUGACGGUAACGGGUAAAGAAGCACCGGCUAACUACGUG
rnacentral:rRNA from 1 species